rnacentral:rRNA from 1 species
CGAAAGCCUGUCUCAGUUCGGAUUGGAGUCUGCAACCCGACUCCAUGAAGCUGGAUUCGCUAGUAAUCGCGCAUCAGCCACGGCGCGGUGAAUACGUUCCCGGGCCUUGUACACACCGCCCGUCACACCAUGAGAGUCUGUAACACCCAAAGCCGGUGGGAUAACCUUUAUAGGAGUCAGCCGUCUAAGGUAGGACAGAUGAUUAGGGUGAAGUCGUAACAAGGUAAC